rfam:Aspergillus ruber CBS 135680 unplaced genomic scaffold scaffold00001, whole genome shotgun sequence.
GGGCGUGUAACUCAGUGGUAGAGUGUUCGCUUUGCAACUGCCAAUAUGCGAAAAGCCCGGCGUUCGAUCCGCCGCUCGUCCA